rnacentral:lncRNA from 1 species
GAGCAGUUACCUUUACGAACUUUGCAGACUGGUUUUGAUAGGGUGGAUGUGAGUAGGCUGACUGAAUGGGCUGUUGGCUUCUGGCUUCAGGGAAGACCAGUGGCAUAGCCUUUGUGCAGCUCUAUUAGCUGGGGUCAUAGUUAGUGAAGGGGCUCUUAACAGUAAGUCUGCAGACACUUCUGGUGGUAUUGAGGGCUCUUGGGGUAUUCAGUGAUGAUGGCUUCUGGGAAUCUCCUGACAACUUUUUCUUCCAUGAGGGAUGCCAUAGCUGAGAAGAAUACCUCUUGGCACCAGGUUCAACUUGAGGACUCUGAGAUCUGAUGUUCAAGCACCUGAGCAGAUUUGGAACCAUUGUCUAGAGUGUGGGUGCUCAUAAAGCAACAGCAACUCUGGGGUCCAGAGGCUGAGUAGCUAUAAUGGUAGGAGCUUUCUUACCUGAGAUGUGGGCAUCCACAGUAGCCUUUGAGCUGGGUCUGGAGAACAGGUAUGGACAGAGUGGCCACAGAGUCAAAGUUGGAUUGUGAGCAUGAACAAAGCAGUUGCAGAGCCAAGAUGUGAAGUGCAGGUACAUGUAGAACAGCCUUAGCUCUGGGAUCUGGAGAAUAUGUGGAGUUUGGGGAGGAAUGGAAUCCCUGGUCCUGGAGUGGUGCAAUAGCGGCUCUUUCUUCAAGAAUGGUUGCAGGAGUGGUGGUUAUCUCAGUAGUGAAAGAUGUGUCCACUGUAGAAUGGGUCACUGGGACUGAUACCAACGAACAGUAUUGUGUCCUGUUCUGGAAAGUUGUGGGUAGUCUUCAGCUGUUUUGGUAAUUGAGGUCCUGAGCAGCCAAGGCUACCAGGUUCUCCAUGGAGCAGGCCAGUGUGAAUCACGAUAGCAUCUACUCUGUAGGUAAUACAGAUAGUUUGUGCCCUUCAUCAUUGCUCCUACAUAUCUCCACUAAACUGAUCUCCCUAGUGACCCACUGUUGCUUUACUAUUUUGAUAUAGGUUUCUAAUUGGACUCUUUUGUCCUCCUAGAGCUAUUUUUGUUUGUGGUUAGCUGAUUUUGUGUGUUUGUGUGUGUGUGUGUGUGAUGGGAAGAAUGCUAGUAUCUCCUACUCUGUCAUCUUGCUGAAAUCACCUUUCUAUUAUUUUGUCUUUAAAUGUUUGAUAGAAUUCACCAAUGAAACCAUCCGGGCCUGGGUUUUUCAUUGUGGGAAAAUUUAUAGUUAUUAAUCCAAUUUCUUUUUGUAAAUCUUUUCAUAUAUUCUUUUUCUUCUUGAAUCAGUUUUGGUUAUUUG